rnacentral:rRNA from 1 species
UACGUAGGGUGCAAGCGUUGUCCGGAAUUAUUGGGCGUAAAGAGCUCGUAGGCGGCUCAGUAAGUCGGGUGUGAAACCCUCAGGCUCAACCUGGGGACGCCACCCGAUACUGCUGUGGCUAGAGUCCAGUAGGGGAGUGUGGAAUUCCCGGUGUAGCGGUGAAAUGCGCAGAUAUCGGGAGGAACACCAGCGGCGAAGGCGGCACUCUGGGCUGGUACUGACGCUGAGGAGCGAAAGCGUGGGUAGCAACAGG